rnacentral:rRNA from 1 species
GACGAACGCUGGCGGCGUGCCUAAUACAUGCAAGUCGAGCGGACGAAUCGAAAGCUUGCUUUUGAUUCGUUAGCGGCGGACGGGUGAGUAACACGUGGGCAACCUGCCCUGUAGACGGGGAUAACACCGAGAAAUCGGUGCUAAUACCGGAUAACACGAAAUGUCGCAUGACGUUUCGUUGAAAGACGGCGCAAGCUGUCGCUACAGGAUGGGCCCGCGGCGCAUUAGCUAGUUGGUGAGGUAACGGCUCACCAAGGCGACGAUGCGUAGCCGACCUGAGAGGGGGAUCGGCCACCCUGGGACUGAGACACGGCCCAGACUCCUACGGGAGGCAGCAGUAGGGAAUCUUCCGCAAUGGACGAAAGUCUGACGGAGCAACGCCGCGUGAGCGAAGAAGGCCUUCGGGUCGUAAAGCUCUGUUGUUAGGGAAGAACAAGUAACGCAGUAACUGGCGUUACCGUGACGGUACCUAACGAGAAGGCCACGGCUAACUACG